rnacentral:rRNA from 1 species
AUUGAACGCUGGCGGCAGGCCUAACACAUGCAAGUCGAACGGUAACAGGAAGCAGCUUGCUGCUUCGCUGACGAGUGGCGGACGGGUGAGUAAUGUCUGGGAAGCUACCUGAUGGAGGGGGAUAACUACUGGAAACGGUAGCUAAUACCGCAUAAUGUCGCAAGACCAAAGAGGGGGACCUUCGGGCCUCUUGCCAUCGGAUGUGCCCAGAUGGGAUUAGCUUGUUGGUGGGGUAACGGCUCACCAAGGCGACGAUCCCUAGCUGGUCUGAGAGGAUGACCAGCCACACUGGGACUGAGACACGGUCCAGACUCCUACGGGAGGCAGCAGUGGGGAAUAUUGCACAAUGGGCGCAAGCCUGAUGCAGCCAUGCCGCGUGUAUGAAGAAGGCCUUCGGGUUGUAAAGUACUUUCAGCGGGGAGGAAGGGAGUAAAGUUAAUACCUUUGCUCAUUGACGUUACCCGCAGAAGAAGCACCGGCUAACUCCGUG